UGGCGUAUCGUUGAUUGUCGGGCA
rnacentral:siRNA from 1 species